GGUCACAUCACGUUGAAACACCGGUUCCCGUACGAUCAUUGAAGUUAAGCAACAUCGAUCCUGGUCAGUAUAUAGGUGGGUGACCGCUUGAGAAUACCAGGUGUUGUAAG